rnacentral:lncRNA from 1 species
UUGACAUGACCUCCUUGGAACAUUCAGACUGGUAAGAGAAAAGAAUUAAACAUCAAAUCUUCCCUCAGGGACUCCAGAUAAGAGCCCAGGCCAAAGGACACCUUGAUUUUGACCUUGUCAGACCUGGAGUUGAAAAACCAGCUGCACCCUUCUAGAAUUCUUACUUACAAAACUGGAGAUGUUACAAGACAAGAUGAUUUCACUGGAAGCUGAGUUUUGCCAGCUUUGGGGAAAUGCUGAUGCAGAACAUCAUUUAUUUAAGGCUGAUACUCAUGGAUAGAAGAGUCAAAGUGCGAAUAUAUGCACCCUUCUAUACGGAUUCUGCAGAAAGAUAUGCUUGGGUCAUGACUCAGGUGAAUUUCCUAUGAAACUUUGUCUUUGGUAAAGCAUCCCAUUCUUGGCUGUUCCAUAUAUAUAUAUAUGGGUAUAUUUCUUCCUCUUAAAGUGUACCUUCCCUGGAGCUUCAGCCUAAUGCCUGAGGUCCUCAGUGAGGUCCCUCCAUUCUUCCUAUCUAAGCUGAAACUUCAACAUCUUCAGGAGUGUGUGACACCUGGUAUGUCUGCUCAGUUCUGAGCUCUGUAGUGACUCCACUGUUGUGUUUUGGAAAACUUGUCAUGUGCACAUGAAUAAUUUAAUCUUAGAUUAUUAAAUUAUUGACUUUAAUACCGCAUGCUUAACUAAGAUAAUUAACAUCAGAAUAUCAUCUAAGAUUUGUCUUCUUAAAAAUCAAGUUUUACCAGAAUCUUAAUAUGAAUUAUAAAAUUAAUGAUUUUAUUGGGACAGUUUUAGAGAUCUGAUACUUAUUUGUAAUUUGCAAAUAUUCUAAGAUGUUGGUCAUUAGAGAACAUAUAUGAAUAAGUGCAUGUGGUAGUUAGGAGAGUGGAAAUGAAUACAAACUAUUAAUGGGUUGUUGCAGAAUAUUCUGACCUUACUGAAUAAACACACAAUACAUAUGCGCACACAUUCAUAGAAUCAGAAAGUCAUGAAAAGGCUGAAUGUAAAACAAAGAGCAUGAGAGACCCAUGUUCUUAAAUUCUAUUAGUACUAAAACUUCCAGUUAACAUUGUAGAAACAUAUAUAUUAGAGAAUUAUGAAUAAACACAGUCCUUGACGUAUGCACAAUCUGAGUUGAUCAAAGGACACUGGCAGAAACAUUAAAAAACUGUGUAAGAUAUUUCACUGCAAUUUUAUAAAUUUCUUCAGUAUAGUAGUAGUGUUUUCCUACUCAUUACAGGAUCUGGGGCCAUCUGCUUUUAAAAUAAUACCUUGCACAUAAUGGGAGAUCUUUACAUAAAGUUUGAAUAAAUUAAGGAAGAAUUAAUUAGCAAGUCCAUUCCUGCUAUGUCAUUUAAGCAAUUUUUUAUUCAUCAAAACAUACUACUUCAAGCUAAUAUUAAAUGGUUUAUAUUCAUGAAACCAUGGGCUAUUACUUAAUUCCUAGAAUUUACCUGCAAAAAAUCAUUGAUUUAUACACUAUACAAGGUAAUAUUCUGGUUCAUUCUCUGGAACAAAUUGCAACUUAAUUGAAAAUAGUAUGAAAGCUAGUAAGUAUAAUUCAAGUGAAAAGCCUUAAAUUCCAUAAGAAUUAAGAACCUUUGGUAAUUAAUAUACCAAACUUUUGGUAUUUGAAAGUGAAAAGAUGUAUUCCUUUAAGAAAAAUAAUAAAGUUGUCAAGAUGAGGAAGAAUUAAACGUACGUAAUAUUGGGCCCUAAUAGAUGAGUGAUGAUAACAGAAAGUAACGUCAAUCAAGACAACAGAACAGUAUGGGGUGUUUUCAGGGAGUAUUAUUUAAUCAACCUGGCGUUCUAAUGAUAGUGACUAUGAAUUAGCAACCUUACUUUGCCCUAAUGUGAGUGGCUUAUUAGAAGAGGCUCAGGUCAGAAGUGGGAUACUAGUGAGCAAGCUGCUGCUAGAGGUAAUGAGGCAAGAAACAGGAUUUUAACAACAUUAGAGAUCUCGUUAAUUCAAACUAAUGGAAAAAAUUGCAGUAACAUAAAAUGUAAAUCUCUCCAACUUUUAAAUUUAUAAUUGGCAGAGAAGGAGAAGCUAUUGAAGAUCUUGAUGCUUUGAAACUGUAUGAGAGGUGUUGUUAUCAAAAGAACUAGCUAGGAGAAAAAAGAAAAUAUACGUUGAUGGUAGCUGUUGGAUUUAGUUCUGGUUUAAAGUAUUUAGACAUGAAUCUGAUCCUGGAUUUCAAAAGGACCUUUAUUGAAAAUGUCAAGUGACAAGAGAUAUUAAGAUGCAUAAGAUUGAACACUACAGCAUCUUCUUUCAAUAAUUUGAUUUACUCACCCUUAUUUAAAGAAUUGAAUCUUUCUGUUCUCAAGCCUCCUUUUCACCAAUUAAUUUGAUUCAGGACAAAAAGUGGUGUUUGAUAUUUUCAACUUUAAAAUAAGUCAAUUUUCCUGCACGCUUAAAUAUUCUGUUAUCUUGAAUUCUAAUGAAGGACCUAUAACUAUGUAUUUAAUAUUUGGUAAAUUUAUACAGAUGUAACAUAUUAUUGAAAUAAGAUUGUAUAAACUAAACAAGAAAAUAGACUGAAAAUAUUGUCUCAAAAAGAACAAUUCUUGCUAUGCUUUUCUUGUAUUUAUAUUUUAUUCAUGUAAGCUGUUUUCUAUCCUGGAAAUAUCAUCCUCCUACUCUCCACCUUCUUUUCACCCUUCACUCUUGUCUUUCAAUGCUCAGCUAAAAUUAAACUCCUCAAACAGGCUUUCAAAGCUCAGUGUAGAAUCAUCUGUUAUUUCCUGCUUCCUCAGUAUUAACUUUUUAUAUAUUAUAUGUCUUGUUAUAUGUAUAAAUGUUU